rnacentral:rRNA from 1 species
UACGUAGAUGGCAAGCGUUAUCCGGAAUUAUUGGGCGUAAAGCGCGCGCAGGUGGUUUCUUAAGUCUGAUGUGAAAGCCCACGGCUCAACCGUGGAGGGUCAUUGGAAACUGGGAGACUUGAGUGCAGGAGAGGAAAGUGGAAUUCCAAGUGUAGCGGUGAAAUGCGUAGAGAUUUGGAGGAACACCAGUGGGGAAGGCGACUUUUGGGCAUGUAACUGACACUGAGGCGCGAAAGCGUGGGGAGCAAACAGG